UUAAGGCGAAGAAAUGCAGGAAUCAAAGCUGGGAGGGCCUGGCCAACGAGGGGCACCCAGGCAGUCCGCAAAGGCCAGGCUCCCGGGAGAAGCUAGCAGCAAUCCUAUUUCAGUGAAGUGCGAUUCUCUUCUCAGCAGGUAAUUUGGAGAAACAGAAAACUAUAAACAGAAGAAAAAAAUUGAGAUAAUCACUAUUAAAGCUUCCUUUUAUGCUCUCUUUUUGGAUAAAUAAAUCUAUAGAAUUAUUCCAUCUAAAGAUGGGUGCCCUCAGGAUGUGGACGUCUAAAUGAUGGGCCCAACUCUAUGCAAGAGCCACAGCAGAGCCACAAAUCCCCCACUGGUCCAUGGAUGACCAGCCUGCCUUGCCAGCAUUCCCGUGCAGAGGUUGGAAUGAGAAAAGACUGGGGUGUUAUCAUCACCCCUUCACACAUCAAGUGACUAGCCCAGGAUCUUCCAGACAAGGACUGCAUACGCAACCAUUUCUCUUGACUUCAAUCUGUCACGGAAGGGGGUUGCUGAAUACCUACUGUGGGUAGAUCCUUUUCUCUGAGGGCAACUGGCGGUGACCUGUUGUGAACUGGAGAUGGGCUCUUGCCACCCGCCUCUACAAGGAUUGAAUCAUGAGCCACUGCAGCUGCUGAUCCUCAACAGCCCUGAAAGGAGCUUAGGAUGGAGAUCAGGAGUGAAGCCCUCUAUGCUCUGGGAAAACUGGCUGAACAGGUCUUCAGAUAGCUAAAUAUUUUCAGGAGAAGAUUUCAUGAGCCCAGCUCUUGCAUCUUCUCAUAUCUAGAAAAGCACUAAAAUCCUUCAUGGUGACAUCUGCUCCCCAAGACUAGCAGUGGCCUUCCUGAGACCAGCAGCAAACUUCUACUCAACGUGUGUUUGAUUACAUGUGCCUCCCUUUCACAAAAAUCCCAUAUAUACUAACACUCCCCCUACCUCUUUGGAGUGGUUUUUCAGAGCUCUCUGAAAAGCUGCCUCCCAGGCUAUAGUCCUCACUUUGCCCCAAAUAAAACCUAAUGCACAACACUCCCAUUGUGCAUUUUGUUUAAGUCAACAACAUGCUGCCCUUAGAAUCAUGAGGGACAAAGAGCAGCCACUUGUCCCACUGAGCACUUGAAACGUGGUUUGUCCUAACUGACAGGUAUUGUGAAUGUCAAACACACCCUGGGUAUAAAGACUGAGCACAAAAAAGAGAAGGCAAACUAUUUCAUUACUAUUUCCGUAUCAACUCUAUAGGAUGCUAUGGUACAUACAUUGG
rnacentral:lncRNA from 1 species